rnacentral:rRNA from 1 species
UACAGAGGGGGCAAGCGUUGUUCGGAAUUACUGGGCGUAAAGGGCGCGUAGGCGGCCUUCUAAGUCGAACGUGAAAUCCCCGGGCUCAACCCGGGAACUGCGUCCGAUACUGGAAGGCUUGAAUCCGGGAGAGGGAUGCGGAAUUCCAGGUGUAGCGGUGAAAUUCGUAGAUAUUCGGAAGAACACCAGUGGCGAAGGCGACUUACUGGACACAUAUUGACGCUGAGGUGCGAAAGCGUGGGGAGCAAACAGG